rnacentral:lncRNA from 1 species
GUAAUCCCAGCACUUCGGGAGGCCGAGGCGGGUGGAUCACGAGGUCAGGAGAUCGAGACCAAGGUGAAAUCCCGUCUCUACUAAAAAAAAAUACAAAAAGUUAGCCGGGCGUAGUGGCGGGCGCCUGUAGUCCCAGCUACUCGGGAGGCUGAGGCAGGAGAAUGGCGUGAACCCGGGAGGCGGCGCNNNNNNNNGAGACUCCGUCUCAAAAAAAAAAAAAAAAAAUCAAUUACACUUCACUAACAGUGAAGUAUCCAAGAAAGAAAUUAAGAAAGCAAUCCCAUUUACAAUAGCAUCAAAAGGAAUAAAAUACUUAGGAAUAAGUUUUACCAACGAGGGGAAAGAUGUGUAUGCUAAAAGCUAUAAUACAUAUAUGAAAGAACUGGAGAUAACACAAAUAAAUGGAAAGCUAUCCCAUGUUCAGGAUCAGAAGAAUCAUUAUUGUCAAAAUGUCUGCAAUACACAAAGUAGUCUACAGAUUCAACGCAAUCUCUAGCAAAACUGCAAUGACAUUUUUCACAGAAAAAAAAAAAAAUUCCUAACAUCCAUACAGAACCCAAAAGACCCAGAAUAUCUAAAACGAUCUUGAGCAAGAAGAACAAAGCUGGUGGCAUCACACUUCUUUAUUUCAAAUUGAGGUGAGGAGUUCAAGACCAGCCUGGUGAAACCCCAUUUCUAUUAAAAAUACAAAAAUAAGCCGGGCACAGUGGCACAUGCCUAUAAUCCCACCUACUCGGGAGGCUGAGGCAGGAGAAUCUCUUGAACCUGGGAGGCGGAGGCUGCAGUGAGCCGAGAUUGUGCCAUUGCACUCCAGCCUGGGUGAC